AUUGAACGCUGGCGGCAGGCCUAACACAUGCAAGUCGAACGAGUGGCGGACGGGUGAGUAAUGUCUGGGAAACUGCCUGGUGGAGGGGGAUAACUACUGGAAACGGUAGCUAAUACCGCCUACCAUCCGAUAUGCCCAGAUGGGAUUCGCUAGUAGUCGGGGUAAAGGCUCACCUAGGCGACGAUCCCUAGCUGGUCUGAGAGGAUGACCAGCCACACUGGAACUGAGACACGGUCCAGACUCCUACGGGAGGCAGCAGUGGGGAAUAUUGCACAAUGGGCGCAAGCCUGAUGCAGCCAUGCCGCGUGUAUGAAGAAGGCCUUCGGGUUGUAAAGUACUUUCAGCGGGGAGGCGUUACCCGCAGAAGAAGCACCGGCUAACUCCGUGCCAGCAGCCGCGGUAAUUC
rnacentral:rRNA from 1 species